CCCUUUUAGGAGAGAGCCCCCUAAGGUGGGAAAAUACUUGGGGGGAAUUCUUACCAAGGUACCCGUAGAAAAACCUGCGGUUGGAUCACCCCCUUUCUAAGGAAACAGACUGAAGGUCGACGAAAACCUGCACAAACUCCACUUUGACUAGUUUUGACUGCAAAAGAAACUUUGUUUAGUUUUGAGA
rnacentral:misc_RNA from 1 species